CAUAGCACAGUGAGAAUUUAAUUGUAUUAAUAUUAUUAAUGUCACCGGCUACUGCUAAUGAAAUACACUCAUCAAGUUGUUGAUUGAGGGUUGGCUCAGCUGCAAGAUAUGCUGGAACUUUGGCAUUCUAGGGUCAGUGAAGAGGAGUGGAUUUAGAGACAGCCAGAGACUCGCCUGCUGAACAACUAGGGAUGGUCUCCCAACUCCACCACUUAGUCACUUUACCCCUCUAUGUCUGAGUUCUCAUAUGUAAAACAGGCAUAAUAAUAGUACCUAACUCAUAGCAUUGUAACGAAGAUUAGUAUAUGUAUAUAAAGCACUUAGAAUAGCACAUUGGCAUACAGCAAGCACUCGAUGAACAUUAGUUAUUGUUUUUUAAGGCAUAGACUGUUGAACAGGAAGUGUGCUAAAGUUGUGAUUUGGCCAAAAGCACAAGUGUCAUCAAGUGAUAGCAGUAGACUGCAAAUAUUGUUACUGUCUCCUCGAUAUGGAUUCAGGAAAUGGGGCAGAACAACAUAUAAGGACAAUUGUUCAAAUUAACUCAUAGGAAAAAAGAAAAAUAGAAAUAAGGAAAUAAGUCACUGACAGAAAAAGAUAAUGUGAUAGCUUUUUCAAUAGUUUAUACUAAAUUGUUGUGCUACCAUAGCUUAAUAUUUCUCUAGCUUAUUCUUCACAUUGUAGUAAUAAUUGUUUUCCAAUGUCUCUUAAAUCAUCUCUGGAAAUACGUUGCUCCUAGAAAUAGCACUGUUCAUUACAACCAUAUGGAGUCAUUAUGAAACAUACUAAUUCUUAGAAACUGGCUUAGUUAUUCUAGGGUAGGACCUGGACAUCUGCUUUGUUUUCAAAUGGCCCAGAUUAUUUAAGUGUGCAGCUGGGCUGAGGACUUCUAUCUUAGAAGAAGAUGGUUUCAGAAUUCAAAUCAGUGGCCAUUAAAAAUCUUUUCCUCACAGCUGCUAGCUUUGAGUAUUGCAGCAUGAUGAAUAAUUCCUGUGACUAUCCCUUUUUCUAACACUACUGAAAUCAGACUUUAAUUUCUCUUUCUUUCAUUAAGCAAAGGGGGAAAAAAGGAGUAAGAAAGAAGGAAAAAAAACCUUUCAACCAACAUUUUUGUCUUUAUUCAACCUAUAUUUGUUGAACAUCUGCUAUAGGACAAACAUAGUGUUGACUUCUAAUGAAUAAUGUAGAUUUCAUAGCCUGUUAAAGGAAUGUGUGACCUGAAGUUCAAAGAAUACCUCCUACCUGGUUAGAAUUAAUUUGCAGAUUCUUUAGAUGAAAUUUUUUUCUUCAAUAUUUUUUAUUGUGGUAAAAUGCACUUAUCAUAAGAUUUACCAUCUUAAUGAUUUUAAGUGUAUAGUGCAGUGGUAUUAAGUAUACUCAUAUUGUUUUGCAACCAUUAUCACUAUCUCCAGAUCUUUUUAUUUUUUUAUUUUUUGAGACUGAAUCUUGCUCUAUUGCCCAGGCUGGAGCACAACUACAUGAUUUUGGCUCACUGCAACCUCUGCCUCCUGGGUUCAAGCGAUUCUCUUGCCUCACUCUCCCAAGUAGCUGGGAUUACAGACAUGUGCCACCAUGCCCUGCUAAUUUUUGUAUUUUUUAGUAGAGACAGGGUUUUGCCAUGUUGGCUAGGCUGAUCUCCAACACCUUACCCGGGGUGAUCCACCCACUUUGGCCUCACACAGUGCUGGGAUUACAGGUGUGAGCCACCAGCCCAGUUUAUAGAGCUUUUUUCAUCUUUCAAAACUGAAACUCUAUACCCAUUAAAUAACAAUGCACUCUCUCACCUCCACUCCCAGCCCUAGGCAGUCACCAUUCUACUUUCUGUAUCUAUCAAUUUGAUUCCUCUAGGUACCUCAGAUAAGUAAAAUCACAUAGUAUUUGUCUUUUUGUGACUGGCUUAUUCUCCUUAGCAUAAUGUCCUCAAGGUUCAACCAUGUUGUAGCAUAUACCAGAAUUCCUUUCCCUUUUAAGGCUUCCCUUUUAAAUAUUAAUAAAAUAUUUAAAAAUAUUUCAUUUUAUGUAUAUAUCACAUUUUGCUUAUCCACUCUUCUGUUGGUGGUCACUUGAGUUGCUUUCAUGUUUUAGCGGUUGUGAAUAUGUCUAUGAAAAUGAAUGUACAAAUAUCCCUUUCAGACCUUUCCUUAGGUUUUUGACAACUUCUUUAGAGUUGGGUCUCGAUCUGUUUCCCAGGCUGGAGUGAUCAUGGCUCACUGCAUCUCCAACUCUUGGGCCCAAGGGUUCCUCCCACCCCAGCCUCUGAGUAGCUGGGGCUACAGAUGCAUGGCCAUCACACCCAGGGAAACUGCUUACCUCAACUGCCAAUUUACAGAGGAUCUCUGUGGAUGUUAAAUCAGAGAAGAGUGCGAAAGGAUUAUGAGCAGAAGAAUGACAUAUUUGGACUAUGUCCCAGAGAGAUAACACUGAUGAUAAUGAAUAUAAUGGACUGAAAGAGAACACUAGGAACACUGUUUAGAAGGCAAGUAUAACAUCUCAGAUUAGUGAUGACUGACAUCUAAACCAUGGAGAAGAUUUUAGGAAAAAACUUGUAGGAAUUUCUGACCACUGAUAUGUUUAUAAGACAAACAAAAAAAGGUUAGCAUGAUGCUACAGUUUCCUGCCUAGGAUGAUGGGAACAUUCGUAACCAAAGGGCAGGGAAAAAUAAUUUUUUGAGGGGACAUUUGACUUUGAGGUGUUGGAAUGAUAGCCAUAUAAAAAUGUCCCAUCAGCUGGAGCUAGAAAUAUAAGUCAAAGCCAGAAGUUGCAGAUGAAGUUAUGAGAUAGGAUGAAAAAAAUGUAGAGAGAGAAAAAAAUGAGUGUAUUAAGAUGUCAAUAACUGAAAACUUUUUGUAGAGGUUUACAUUUUGGGGCAGCUAAACAAAAUCAGGGAGCAUAUUACAGAAGCCAAAGGAGAAGAGAAUUUUAAA